rnacentral:snRNA from 1 species
AGCUUUGCGCAGUGGCAGUAUCAUAGCCAAUGAGGUCAAACCAAGGCGUGAUUAUUGCUAAUUGUAAUG